GAUGAACGCUGGCGGCGUGCCUAAUACAUGGAAGUCGAGCGAACAGACGAGGAGCUUGCUCCUCUGACGUUAGCGGCGGACGGGUGAGUAACACGUGGAUAACCUACCUAUAAGACUGGGAUAACUUCGGGAAACCGGAGCUAAUACCGGAUAAUAUAUUGAACCGCAUGGUUCAAUAGUGAAAGACGGUUUUGCUGUCACUUAUAGAUGGAUCCGCGCCGCAUUAGCUAGUUGGUAAGGUAACGGCUUACCAAGGCAACGAUGCGUAGCCGACCUGAGAGGGUGAUCGGCCACACUGGAACUGAGACACGGCCCAGACUCCUACGGGAGGCAGCAGUAGGGAAUCUUCCGCAAUGGGCGAAAGCCUGACGGAGCAACGCCGCGUGAGUGAUGAAGGUCUUCGGAUCGUAAAACUCUGUUAUUAGGGAAGAACAAAUGUGUAAGUAACUAUGCACGUCUUGACGGUACCUAAUCAGAAAGCCACGGCUAACUACGUG
rnacentral:rRNA from 1 species